rnacentral:rRNA from 1 species
GCCUUAGUACGGCGAGUGAAGCGGCAAAAGCUCAAAUUUGAAAUCUGGUACCUUCGGUGCCCGAGUUGUAAUUUGGAGAGGGCAACUUUGGGGCCGUUCCUUGUCUAUGUUCCUUGGAACAGGACGUCAUAGAGGGUGAGAAUCCCGUGUGGCGAGGAGUGCGGUUCUUUGUAAAGUGCCUUCGAAGAGUCGAGUUGUUUGGGAAUGCAGCUCUAAGUGGGUGGUAAAUUCCAUCUAAAGCUAAAUAUUGGCGAGAGACCGAUAGCGAACAAGUACAGUGAUGGAAAGAUGAAAAGAACUUUGAAAAGAGAGUGAAAAAGUACGUGAAAUUGUUGAAAGGGAAGGGCAUUUGAUCAGACAUGGUGUUUUGUGCCCUCUGCUCCUUGUGGGUAGGGGAAUCUCGCAUUUCACUGGGCCAGCAUCAGUUUUGGUGGCAGGAUAAAUCCAUAGGAAUGUAGCUUGCCUCGGUAAGUAUUAUAGCCUGUGGGAAUACUGCCAGCUGGGACUGAGGACUGCGACGUAAGUCAAGGAUGCUGGCAUAAUGGUUAUAUGCCGCCCGUCUUGACC